rnacentral:snRNA from 1 species
AUACUUGCCUGGACGGGGCCAAUUGGCAAUCAAGAAGGUCUAUGGCCUAGGGUUGAUGCCCUCAUUGCACUUCGGGAGUGGGCCGCCCUAGCAUCUCCCCAACCGGGAGGAUGUGCGUCACAAUUUGGGCGAGGGGGUUACGCGUUCGCGCGGCCCCCGC